GGACGGGUGAGUAACACGUGGGUAACCUGCCUCAAAGAGGGGGAUAGCCUCCCGAAAGGGAGAUUAAUACCGCAUGAUAAAUAUAAUCCGCAUGGAUUAUAUUUUAAAGGAGAAAUCCGCUUUGAGAUGGACCCGCGGCGCAUUAGCUAGUUGGCAGGGUAACGGCCUACCAAGGCGACGAUGCGUAGCCGACCUGAGAGGGUGAACGGCCACAUUGGAACUGAGAGACGGUCCAGACUCCUACGGGAGGCAGCAGUGGGGAAUAUUGCACAAUGGGCGGAAGCCUGAUGCAGCAACGCCGCGUGAGUGAAGAAGGUUUUCGGAUUGUAAAGCUCUGUCAUCUGGGACGAUAAUGACGGUACCAGAUGAGGAAGCCACGGCUAACUACGUGCCAGCAGCCGCGGUAAUACGUAGGUGGCAAGCGUUGUCCGGAAUUACUGGGCGUAAAGGGUGCGCAGGCGGACAUUUAAGUGAGAUGUGAAAUACCCGGGCUUAACCCGGGCAGUGCAUUUCAAACUGGGUGUCUGGAGU
rnacentral:rRNA from 1 species